AUGCGAUACUUGGUGUGAAUUGCAGAAUCCCGUGAACCAUCGAGUCUUUGAACGCAAGUUGCGCCCGAAGCCAUUUGGCCGAGGGCACGUCUGCCUGGGCGUCACGC
rnacentral:rRNA from 1 species